ensembl:lincRNA
UUGGAAUUUUUACUGUAACAUAGAAUAUAAGGGAAGUAGAAGCUGAGGGAAGAAGAAGAGGUCCCAGAGACUCCAGUCUGAUUCUCACACCUCUUGCUUUACAGUUGAGAAAACUGAAUCUCAGGGUUAGUUCCUUUUUGUGUCCCUGAAGGGUGAGCUGAUGAUCAGUCCACAGUACCUCUGUACCCGGAUGUAUGGAUGUAUUGUUUGCAUAGUUCAACUCAAGAAAUAGUGUUUUCUCUGUAGUUCUCAAAUUCAAUAAUGCCUAACUUACAAUAAUUAUCUGCUACUGACUAUCAGGGAAUCUAAGCACAUACAGCAGACGAAAGUUGAUGUUUGCAGUUUCAUAACAGGUAUAUUUAUAGAUAUCUGUUAUAAACAGUGCUAUUUAUGGACCCUCAGAAAGGCCUGACAAUCAAGGCUGGGGUGGGAUAGUUCUGCUGAAUUUCCUGGAGACCUCCAGCAUCUCAGGAUACAGAGUACUCCUUCUUCCAAGGCAGCGUCCUGGCCAUACGUUGUCAUCUGCACAGAGAUGGAGAGGCUCAGUACAGAAAGCCCAUUUCAUCAGCUGGUCUUCCCUGGUGAAAAAGGACCCCACACAUGUGCAGCAAAGAAUGAGAGGACUGAAUACCACAGCCAGCGAGGUGACAUCUGUGCCUGGCAUUUAAAGGGAGCCAAAGAGGGGUAUCAGGUCCUUGCAGCAAAUGCCAUCAGGCAGCUCCAGUUAGAUUUGCCUUUCUGCCAAGGUCAAGAGUGCCUUCCUUCUGCAGGUCCACUGAGGUCAGGGAGCCUGCCCCUCAUCGGGAGCUGGUGGAGUUUCAAGUCUGGACUCAUUGAUAACACAGUUACAGUAGAAAUAACACGUUCAGUCUUGCAGAACAUGUGGCAACCUUUUGUAUGAGUCAACACCGCUGGCAUUAGGAGGUUUAAGUACAAAGACUUUUCAGUUGCAGGAGGACACUUGUCAUUCUAGAGGUUCUUUGGUUUUUUUCAAAGUAUUUUUGUGUUUUUCUCCAGCCACUCUCCACCCUCAGGCCUCCUUACACAUUCUGACAGUUACAGUAAACAGGAAUUAGCCUCAGCUCACCAAGGGUGGCUGGCAGAUGGUUUUAAUAAGUUGUGUCUUAAGAGAAAGGAUUUAAGAGUGACAUGAAGACCAAAUUUACAUGCAGUGGACUGCACAUGGCCCAGACUCACCUGAUGCUAUUGCCUCUGCAACUCCCUGCCUCAUGGCUUCUGCAAAAGAUAGAAAUAACUAUAGCUUCCAUGUAUUGAUCACUUACUACCUUCCACAUAGCUACAUGGUUUCCUUAUGUGCCAUCUGCAGGAAUCCAUGUGAUGGUUAUGGUUAUGUCUACUUCACAGAGGAAGAAACCAGGCUGAGAGUCACUCACUGAUACCAAUGAUUGUGCUCCUAACUGCUUUUCUAUACCAUUUGCCAAAAAUUAUGAAAUUAAAAUCAUGGUAAAAGAUUCAGAAAGCAACACUCAGAAAUUAAAUAAAGAAGUUUGAUGAUUUUUAAAGGACCCAGAGGCUUUGUAGUGAUUGGACAACUGAUAAUCCAAUUAUUAAGGCCCAAGGGAGGGAAAGACAGAGACCAGGCAUUGCCAUCAUUAUCUGAGCUGACUCUCAUAGAACAACUACUGAAUUACAUGCUUGUAUGUACAAACUGAAUCUCUGAUAACAAUCUUACAGAGUGGAUCCUAUCAUCACCCUGAUUUUAUGGUGAACUUAGGAGAAGUUAAAAAUUCCUCAAAGUCAUGAUGCUAGCAAACGACCGAUUCCAUAUCUAAAUCUAGAACUCUGGACCAGAGACAUGUUUGUAACUAUUAUGCUGUGCGCAGAGAGAGGGAGAAGACUGUUGACCUCAGGGCAUGGAGUUUCUGUCCUGAGAACUCUCUAGGGUUGUGCGAAUGAUUUACAUGUAACUUACAUGCAACAAAGACUAGCAUGUUUUCAAGAGUGCAUAAGAGUUUUUCACAUGAAACAGAAGAAGUCACUCAGAACCACUGUACAGAUUCCAUAAGCACAGAAUAAAGUAAGGAGUUCAAAGUUCUAGUGGUCGUGAUUCUAAUGUAUGCCAACAGAGGAGGCGAAUGGCAGUGCCGAAAAGAGAAUGGAAUCCACAGUGGACUGAACGGUGGCCCCAAAGAUAUCAGACCCUAAACCCUGGUACCUCUCAAUGUUACCUUAUAUGUUACAGUCCUGCAGAUGUGAUUCAAUGAAAAAUUUUACAAUAAAGAGAUUAUCAUAGAUUGUCAAGUGGGUCUUAAAUAUCAUCACAAGUCACUUUAUACAGAGAGAGGCAGAGGGAAAAUAGACACACAGAGGGGAGGAUCAUGUGAAGAUGGAGGCAGGAAUUGGAGUGAUGCAGCUACAAGCCAAAGAAUGCUGGCAGCCAUCAGAAGCUGGAAGAGGUGAGGAACAGAUAGGCACUUUCCAGUGCCCUCGGAGGGAGCUUGGACUUGCUGAUAUCUUGAUUUCAACCCAUUAUUACUGAUUUUGAUCUUUUGGCCUCCAGAACUAACAAGAAGAGAAUAAACUUUUGUUAAUUCAAACCACUAAGUGAUGACUUAUUACAGCAGCCACAGAAAAUGAAUACAGGCUCUUAGCUUGUGGUCACAGAGGGUAAUGUUGAAGCUGUAGGAAACUGCUCUCCUGUGGAUGAGCCUCAUUCUCC